rnacentral:rRNA from 1 species
GAACGAACGUUGGCGGCGUGGAUUAGGCAUGCAAGUCGUGCGAGAAAGCCCCUUCGGGGGUGAGUAAAGCGGCGAACGGGUGAGUAGCGCGUGGGGAAUCUGCCCUCGAGUUGGGGAUAACACUCCUAACGGGGUGCUAAUACCGGAUAACACGAUCUGAUCGCAUGGUCGGGUCGUCAAAGUCGGCCUCUGCUUGCAAGCUGGCGCUUGAGGAUGAUCCCGCGUCCCAUUAGCUAGUUGGUGAGGUAACGGCCCACCAAGGCUCCGAUGGGUAGCUGGUCUGAGAGGAUGGUCAGCCACACUGGGACUGAGAUACGGCCCAGACUCCUACGGGAGGCAGCAGUCGAGAGGCUUCGUCAAUGGGGGAAACCCUGAACGAGCGACGCCGCGUGGGCGAUGAAGGCCGUAAGGUCGUAAAGCCCUGUCAGAGGGGAAGAAAGACCCGAGUGAUAAUACCACUCAGGUUUGACGUUACUCUCAAAGGAAGCUCC